UGCACAGGUGCAGCUGGGGCUCCCUGCUCUGGCAGAGGAGACCUUCUGCUAACUCCUGGGGAGCGGGAAGCUCCUAGUGGACCAGAUCCUGGUGUACAAAGAGGAAGUCUUCCCCCACCUUGGGGCUCCCACCCUGCUGAAGGACCACCGUCUGACCCAAGCAGAGACCCUGGAGCCAGAGAGAAUGGCACCCUGGACCUCAAGGCCCCCUUCCCAGGGGUCAGUAACAUUCAAGGAUGUGACUGUGGACUUCACCCAGGAGGAAUGGUGCCUCUUGGACCAUUCUGAGAAAGAGCUGUACAGGGAGGUCAUGCUGGAGAAUGUGCAAAAUCUACUCUCUGUGGGUAAGGACCAUUUCCUCUGUUAACUCUGAAUCUGCCAUUAAAGAAAUGUCUUCAUUCCAUACUUAAGGUGUAGGAUUUUAAGUCUUUGUUAGUGAUUUAAAACACAAACAUGCUGAUCUCUGCACAGCAUUCUCCUCCUGCCUAUGUUUCUUAAAAAAAAAAAAAAAAAAAAAAGUCUUUUAAUUCUCUGAUGAGAAGCUGGGACUUUCCUUUCUUACUCCUGAAAUAUUCUCCCUUCUGUUUUAGGUAGCUUCAAGUGAAAGCUUAAAACAGUGUUACAGAUUUAUAUUCCUGAAGCUAAUCUCAAAAGUCAUCUAGUCCAGCCUCUAAUUAGACCUAGAUUUUGUGUGUAAAUUCUCUGUUAAUACCAAGGCAGAUUUUCCUUCCAGAUAGCCAUCAAAGGAGUGACUCUAACUGCCUUUCUCAUUUGGGAUAGGUCUGGUCUUUAUAAAGUAUGUCUUUUUAAGAAGUAUUAAUGAGAAAGGCAGCAGGGCAGAAGCAAAUUCUGGAGCCACAUUGAGAAUCUCAAACAAACCUUAAAACGGUGCUUCUAAAUUUCUGCAAUCACAGAACAAACAAGGGUCAGAGUAAGAUGAGUUGAAGGAGGAAUACAACUUAAAUAGUAGGCAGAAAAGGUCUAUUUCUGAGAAGAAAGGGGAACUGGAAGUGAAACCUGGCACAGACUAGUGCAUACAAUCCAUCCCCUACCUUCUGCCAGGUCCCGUACCUAGGCACAAGCCAACUUUGAGACCCUAGGAUCCUUCUUAAGCCUUCAUUAGCACAACGCGAGCCCACCCCUUGAAAACCAAACGUCUGGCACAAAACCUUAGUGAAGCCGAAAAGUCACUUGACCAGUUUAAGCCUGUGGUGAAGUCCCUAGCUCCAGGGCAAAGUAGCUCUCAGUUCACUGAGCCCUGCAAGCCAUCAGCAGUGCCUUGAGGAGACUAAAUCAGCAACUUUUCGAACACCCAGCCUACAGGCCAUGAUACCAUUUUGAAAGAAAUGAAACUUGUCAAAAAGCAGAACUAUAGUUCCGGGUUAAGAUGGCGG